GACGAACGCUGGCGGCGUGCUUAACACAUGCAAGUCGAACGGAAAGGCCUGCUUUCCCUUGUGGAUUGCGGGUACUCGAGUGGCGAACGGGUGAGUAACACGUGAGUGAUCUGCCCCCAACUUGGGUAUAAGCCUGGGAAACUGGGUCUAAUUCCCGAUAGGACUGCAGGGUGGUGCCUGUGGUGGAAAACGAUUUUCUAGUGGUUGGGGAUGAGCUCGCGGCCUAUCAGCUUGUUGGUGGGGUAAUAGCCUACCAAGGCGGCGACGGGUAGCCGGCCUGAGAGGGUGGACGGCCACAUUGGGACUGAGAUACGGCCCAGACUCCUACGGGAGGCAGCAGUGGGGAAUAUUGCACAAUGGGCGGAAGCCUGAUGCAGCGACGCCGCGUGGGGGAUGACGGCCUUCGGGUUGUAAACUCCUUUCGACCGCGAGGAAGCCACCUGGUUGGAAGGGUGGUGACGGUAGUGGUAGAAGAAGCACCGGCUAACUACGUG
rnacentral:rRNA from 1 species